rnacentral:rRNA from 1 species
UACGUAGGGGGCUAGCGUUAUCCGGAUUUACUGGGCGUAAAGGGUGCGUAGGCGGUCUUUCAAGUCAGGAGUGAAAGGCUACGGCUCAACCGUAGUAAGCUCUUGAAACUGUAAGACUUGAGUGCAGGAGAGGAGAGUGGAAUUCCUAGUGUAGCGGUGAAAUGCGUAGAUAUUAGGAGGAACACCAGUUGCGAAGGCGGCUCUCUGGGCAGUUACUGACGCUGAGGAGCGAAAGCAUGGGUAGCGAACAGGAUUAGAUACCCGGGUAGU